GAUGAAGAACGUAGCAAAAUGCGAUAAGUAAUGUGAAUUGCAGAAUUCAGUGAAUCAUCGAAUCUUUGAACGCACAUUGCGCCCGCCAGUAUUCUGGCGGGCAUGCCUGUUCGAGCGUCAUUUCAACCCUCAAGCCCUCGGGUUUGGUGUUGGGGAUCGGCGAGCCUUUCUGGCAAGCCGGCCCCGAAAUCUAGUGGCGGUCUCGCUGCAGCCUCCAUUGCGUAGUAGUAAAACCCUCGCAACUGGAACGCGGCGCGGCCAAGCCGUUAAACCCCCAACUUCUGAAUGUUGACCUCGGAUCAGGUAGGAAUACCCGCUGAGCUUAAGCAUAUCAAUAAGCGGAGGA
rnacentral:misc_RNA from 1 species